CCUACGGGUUGCACCAGUGGGGAAUAUUGGACAAAGGGCGAAAGCCUGAUCCAGCAAUGCCGCGUGUGUGAAGAAGGUCUUCGGAUUGUAAAGCACUUUCGACGGGGACGAUGAUGACGGUACCCGUAGAAGAAGCCCCGGCUAACCUCGUGCCAGCAGCCGCGGUAAUACGAAGGGGGCUAGCGUUGCUCGGAAUGACUGGGCGUAAAGGACGCGUAGGCGGUUUAUGCAGUCAGAUGUGAAAUCCCCGGGCUUAACCUGGGAACUGCAUUUGAGACGCAUAGACUAGAGGUCGAGAGAGGGUUGUGGAAUUCCCAGUGUAGAGGUGAAAUUCGUAGAUAUUGGGAAGAACACCGGUGGCGAAGGCGGCAACCUGGCACGAUACUGACACUGAGGCGCGAAAGCGUGGGGAGCAAACAGGAUUAGAUACCCCAGUAGUC
rnacentral:rRNA from 1 species